rnacentral:rRNA from 1 species
AGUGAACGCUGGCGGUAGGCCUAACACAUGCAAGUCGAACGGCAGCACAGUAAGAGCUUGCUCUUACGGGUGGCGAGUGGCGGACGGGUGAGGAAUACAUCGGAAUCUACUUUUUCGUGGGGGAUAACGUAGGGAAACUUACGCUAAUACCGCAUACGACCUACGGGUGAAAGCAGGGGAUCUUCGGACCUUGCGCGAUUGAAUGAGCCUAUGUCGGAUUAGCUAGUUGGCGGGGUAAAGGCCCACCAAGGCGACGAUCCGUAGCUGGUCUGAGAGGAUGAUCAGCCACACUGGAAUUGAGACACGGUCAAGACGCCUACGGGAGGCAGCAGUGGGGAAUAUUGGACAAGGGGCGCAAGCCUGAUCCAGCCAUACCGGGUGGGUGAAGAAGGCCUUCGGGUUGUAAAGCCCUUUUGUUGGGAAAGAAAAGCAGCAGGUUAAUACCCCGCUGUUCUGACGGUACCCAAAGAAUAAGCACCGGCUAACUUCGUG